AAGCUUUAAAAUACAAAAUGUACAGUUCCAGUUCAGAAGCAUUAGCUAUUCACAAGAAGCACUGCAAUAAGGCAGCAACAAGGUCUGGCCCUGAGAACAUGGAGAACAAACUGUCUCCAUUAGCUGAGGAGGUCUCAUCACUUGAGCUGGCAGAGUCUCCUUGAGUACCAGACCAGCUAUUUGUCACAUCACUACCACCUGAAGAUUUGCUUCCAUUUCCGGAUGGCAUGUCAACUUGAUUCCCAAAGUCUGAGAUUUCACGCUGUAACUGGAUCUGAAUACAAGGCAAAGCUUGCUCCCUGCAUCAACAAAAACAUGUACGUCAAACCAUCUAAUAUAU